ACAAGUGGGAGGGGAUUCCUGUUAAAACUAUGCAGCGGGAGACAGAGUGGAUGAUGUAUUUUGUUCUAGUUGUGCUUAAAGUCUGAGUUAUUUUUCUUCCUGAAAGCUAUCAUGAUUUUGCAGUGUUUGUCUCUUAUAUUUUCAACAAUGGUGGGUGAUAGUUUUCAAGAUUCAAUAACUCCACUAAAGGACACAGUACAUGCCAUGGAGGAUAGCAAUGUUUCACUGUCAUGCACCUACACUGGCAUUGCAGGCCUUACAAAGUAUCUGCACUGGUAUCGUCAAUAUGACACAUCCAAACCAGAAUUCCUCAUUCUCAUUGGAGAUGUUCGUGGGAGUGAGACGAAGAGAGAUGGACGAUUUAAUGUUAAACUUGAGAACAGCCGCGUGGAUCUGGAGAUCUCCUCUGCUGAAGUGACAGACUCUGCUCUGUACUACUGUGCCCUGCAGCCCACAGUGACAGGAAACCCAUCAUCUCUGUACAAAAACCUGACAGCACUUGAAACCAGUUGCAACAUAAGAACAUUACAAUGUAUGAAGGCAUAAUGAUGCAAAUUUGCAAUUCAGCCCAUCCACACUGCAUUUACCUAAAUGGCAAGCAUAGAAACACUGUUCAAAUUUUACCUCUCCGCUUUGAGUGUUUCAAGUUUUAUAUUCACUAGAUAUUCAUUUAUCAAACUGUAUUCUGACAAUUUUAAGACAAAACCCAGUUUUGUGACUUGAACCUUUGGGUGAUGUGUUUGUAUUAUUAUAUGUGCUUACAGUACUUCUAUAAGUAAUUUAUUCUUCAUGUCAUAUUUAACACUAUUGCAGAUGAACUGUAGCAGAACGCUAACAGUUGAAUUAGAAAUGAACUCAUGAACUGUGGUGU